rnacentral:misc_RNA from 1 species
GGUAGUUUUGAUUUAUAAAAAAUGUCAGCAAACCCAUUGAGUAAUUACAUGUAUGCUUACUUUUUUUUUUAAAUAAAACACCCAAUAAUCAUGGAAAAGAUGGGUAUAAUAGAUAUGAUAAAACAUGUAAAUAUAUCAGUGCCAUACAUAGACUUUCAUGGGACAUAUUUGAAUAAUAAAUCAUGUGCAAUUAUUCAUAGUUAUUUAUAAUGAAUUGAUGAAUUUUUAAUCUAACUUUUUGUAUCUAUUCAUAGUCAUUGUACGAAAAAAAAAUCAAAUUAUGUUACAUCAAAGAUUACUUUUGUUCACAAGUAUGAAGUUCGCAAAUUAUGCAAAACAAAAACGAUUUUUAUGUAGACGUGUUUCACGAAAUGAAUAGGGUUAUCUCUUGAUUUUUAAUUGACUUGUAAAUAUCAACGCAUAACGAAGCCGGGCUGCGUAAGUAUGACUUACAACCAAAUAAGUUAAUGCUUAUUAAAUACAAACUACUCAAUGUUGUUUUCAACUGGCAGUAGAAUAUAUUACUGUUAAAGUUGUAAGUAAAUGGUGUGAUCUAUGUAUACGAUAGCAUCAAAGAGCAUUCAAUGUAACUGAAAAUAUUUUUAUGACUUUGUCGUUAGAAUAACGCAGUCUGAUUAACACCAUUCAUGUAUAUAUUAUCCAAAGACAUCUAUACUCAAGCAUCUAAAAAACCAAAACAAAUCUAGACUAAUCUAGAGGCCUAAGGCAACUGUGUAUCAAUCAUAUGCAUAUUGUCGCAUGAUCUUUGAUUCUUGCAUAAAUUAUAAGAUUCAUUAUGGUGAGAAUAGUAGGGACUGUAAUUAGAUAAACAAUUACACUGUUCGAAGAUAAUAGCAAAUAUAUAAUUGCAAAA